AUUGAACGCUGGCGGCAGGCCUAACAUAUGCAAGUCGAACGGUAACAGGAAGAAGCUUGCUUCUUUGCUGACGAGUGGCGGACGGGUGAGUAAUGUCUGGGAAACUGCCUGAUGGAGGGGGAUAACUACUGGAAACGGUAGCUAAUACCGCAUAACGUCGCAAGACCAAAGAGGGGGACCUUCGGGCCUCUUGCCAUCGGAUGUGCCCAGAUGGGAUUAGCUAGUAGGUGGGGUAACGGCUCACCUAGGCGACGAUCCCUAGCUGGUCUGAGAGGAUGACCAGCCACACUGGAACUGAGACACGGUCCAGACUCCUACGGGAGGCAGCAGUGGGGAAUAUUGCACAAUGGGCGCAAGCCUGAUGCAGCCAUGCCGCGUGUAUGAAGAAGGCCUUCGGGUUGUAAAGUACUUUCAGCGGGGAGGAAGGGAGUAAAGUUAAUACCUUUGCUCAUUGACGUUACCCGCAGAAGAAGCACCGGCUAACUCCGUG
rnacentral:rRNA from 1 species